rnacentral:rRNA from 1 species
UACCAGCACCCCGAGUGGUCGGGACGAUUAUUGGGCCUAAAGCAUCCGUAGCCGGUCAUGCAAGUCCUCCGUUAAAUCCACCUGCUUAACAGAUGGGCUGCGGAGGAUACUAUAGAGCUAGGGGGCGGGAGAGGCAAGCGGUACUUAGUGGGUAGGGGUAAAAUCCGUUGAUCCAUUGAAGACCACCAGUGGCGAAGGCGGCUUGCCAGAACGCACUCGACGGUGAGGGAUGAAAGCUGGGGGAGCAAACCGG